rnacentral:rRNA from 1 species
GAUGAACGCUGGCGGCAUGCUUUACACAUGCAAGUCGCACGGGCAGUCUUGUUUCCAGUGGCGCACGGGUGAGUAACGCGUAAGAACCUGCCCUUGGGAGGGGAACAACAGCUGCAAACGGCUGCUAAUACCCCGUCGGCUGGGCAGCGAAAGGCGGAAUCCGCCCAAGGAGGGGCUCGCGUCUGAUUAGCUAGUUGGUGAGGUGAUAGCGUACCAAGGCCGUGAUCAGUAGCUGCUCCGAGAGGAUGAUCAGCCACACCGGGGCUGAGACCACGCCCAGGCUCCGAGGGGAGGCAGAAGUGGGGAGGUAUCAGCAAUGGGCGGAGGGCUGACGGAGCAGUGCCGCGUGGAGGGAAAAGGGCUACGGGGAGGGAGCGUCUGUGCCUUGGGAAGAAAAAAUGAAGGUAGAUGCGGAAUAAGAGGAGGCCAACUCUGGG